CGAAUACAAUGUUGUUUAGCCUUGUGUGAAAAUACAUCGUUGAAAGGAGGAGGUCCCUCGGAUUGAGACAACCUGUGGCAGAUAAUGAAUGUCAUUUCGAAGGUUUUAUUUUCUUUCACGUGCCAUCCAAAAAAGUGUGACAAUAAUGAAUUAACACAUUUCUUGGACCUGUUUACUGAAGUUUACUGAAUACAAAUUGUAGAUUGGAGGAGAGAUGGUGGUAAAACUGGAUGAAAAAAAAAGGAACAAUUUGACUUUUAAUACGUUUUUAAAUUGCUUGCCUUCAAUUUUAUCUCUUGGUCUCACAGUCUUUGAAAGUCAGUUGUAAUGGAAUUUGUGCGAGACAACUAAGCAGACCACAAGAGAAGACGAUGAGAUGGGAACCUCCAGAAAAAUACCGUCUGCAUCAACACCCUCCACUGCCGUCGUCAUGGUGAUGAAUGCCGCCUCCUCUCCUUCCACUGGGUCCGAUGGUCUCCUUUUUUCAUACCACAGUGUGAUUCUUAUGAAUACAUUUUCGAGAGGGGCCCGGCACACAACGGUUUCCAUGGUUACCAGCGGCACGCCAACGUUUUUCAUCAAACGUGUGCGCAUGAACAAAUCUCCGCAGAUUGAAACUCUGACCCGCAGGAAAAGCAGAGGUGGCAGUUAGCCUCACCCAGCUUGUCAACUGUAGAGAUUUCUCUGCUCCACCCUGGGAUGGACCGAGACACAAGGUGUUGCUGGUUUGACUGGUCUGAGGAUCAGCUAACAAAAGAGAUUCAUGUAAAGAAGUUGUCUUGGCAGCAGUUUCACACUUCCGCCGACCCUAUGCAAAGAGUUCACACUUUAAAGGCACAGGCCUGAGGAGAAAGUAGAG
ensembl:lncRNA